rnacentral:rRNA from 1 species
GAUGAACGCUGGCGGCGUGCCUAAUACAUGCAAGUCGAGCGAACAGACGAGGAUCUUGCUCCUCUGACGUUAGCGGCGGACGGGUGAGUAACACGUGGAUAACCUACCUAUAAGACUGGGAUAACUUCGGGAAACCGGAGCUAAUACCGGAUAAUAUAUUGAACCGCAUGGUUCGAUAGUGAAAGACGGUUUUGCUGUCACUUAUAGAUGGAUCCGCGCCGCAUUAGCUAGUUGGUAAGGUAACGGCUUACCAAGGCAACGAUGCGUAGCCGACCUGAGAGGGUGAUCGGCCACACUGGAACUGAGACACGGUCCAGACUCCUACGGGAGGCAGCAGUAGGGAAUCUUCCGCAAUGGGGGAAAGCCUGACGGAGCAACGCCGCGUGAGUGAUGAAGGUCUUCGGAUCGUAAAACUCUGUUAUUAGGGAAGAACAAAUGUGUAAGUAAAUAUGCACGUCUUGACGGUACCUAAUAAGAAAGCAACGGCUAACUACGUG